rnacentral:rRNA from 1 species
GUCGAACGCUGGCGGCAGGCCUAACACAUGCAAGUCGAGCGGAACGGCGGACGGGUGAGUAAUACAUAGGAAUCUGCCUGGUAGUGGGGGAUAACGUCCGGAAACGGGCGCUAAUACCUCAUACUAUCCAAUGAGCAUAGGCCGGAUUAGCUAGUUGGUGGGGUAAAGGCCUACCAAGGCGACGAUCCGUAACUGGGCUGAGUGGAUGAUCAGUCACACGGGAACUGAGACACGGUCCAGACUCCUACGGGAGGCAGCAGUGGGGAAUAUUGUACAAUGGGCGAAAGACUGAUGCAGCCAUGCCGCGUGUGUGAAGAAGGUCUUCGGAUUGGAAAGCACUUUAAGUUGGGAGGCGUUACCAACAGAAUAAGCACCGGCUAACUUCGUGCCAGCAGCCGCGGUAAUUC